AGCGGGGUGGGGUAGCCAGGAAAUCCCGACGGGCUCAUAACCCGUAGGUCGGUGGUUCAAAUCCACCCCCCGCUA
rnacentral:tRNA from 1 species